CACGUAGGGCGCGAGCGUUGUCCGGAAUUAUUGGGCGUAAAGAGCUCGUAGGCGGCCUGUUGCGUCCGCUGUGAAAGCCCGGGGCUUAACCCCGGGUCUGCAUUCGAUACGGGCAGACUAGAGUGUGGUAGGGGAGAUCGGAAUUCCUGGUGUAGCGGUGAAAUGCGCAGAUAUCAGGAGGAACACCGGUGGCGAAGGCGGAUCUCUGGGCCAUUACUGACGCUGAGGAGCGAAAGCGUGGGGAGCGAACAGG
rnacentral:rRNA from 1 species